UUCCAGACUCCUACGGGAGGCAGCAGUGAGGAAUAUUGGUCAAUGGUCGGGAGACUGAACCAGCCAAGCCGCGUGAGGGAGGAAGGUACAGAGUAUCGUAAACCUCUUUUGUCAGGGGACAAAGACUGGGACGCGUCCCCGGAUGAGUGUACCUGAAGAAAAAGCAUCGGCUAACUCCGUGCCAGCAGCCGCGGUAAUACGGAGGAUGCGAGCGUUAUCCGGAUUUAUUGGGUUUAAAGGGUGCGCAGGCGGAAUGUCAAGUCAGCGGUAAAAUUUCGGGGCUCAACCCCGUCGUGCCGUUGAAACUGGCGUUCUUGAGUGAGCGAGAAGUAUGCGGAAUGCGUGGUGUAGCGGUGAAAUGCAUAGAUAUCGCGCAGAACUCCGAUUGCGAAGGCAGCAUGCCGGCUCCACACUGACGCUGAGGCACGAAAGCGUGGGUAUCGAACAGGAUUAGAUACCCUCGUA
rnacentral:rRNA from 1 species